GUGUUUGUGUGUGUGUGUGGUGUGUGUGUGUGUGUGUGUGGUGUGUGUCUGUGUUUGUGUAUAUACACACAAACACACACACACCACACACACACACACACACACACACACACACACACACACAUAUAUAUAUAUUAUAUAUAUAUAUAUAUAUUUAUAUAUAUAUGUAUAUACACAC